rnacentral:rRNA from 1 species
GACGAACGCUGGCGGCGUGCUUAACACAUGCAAGUCGAGCGGUAAGGCCCCUUCGGGGGUACACGAGCGGCGAACGGGUGAGUAACACGUGAGCAAUCUGCCCUUCACACGGGGAUAACUUCGGGAAACCGGAGCUAAUACCCGAUACGACCACCUCGGGCAUCCGAUGGUGGUGGAAAGCUCCGGCGGUGAAGGAUGAGCUCGCGGCCUAUCAGCUUGUUGGUGGGGUAACGGCCCACCAAGGCAACGACGGGUAGCCGGCCUGAGAGGGUGACCGGCCACACUGGGACUGAGACACGGCCCAGACUCCUACGGGAGGCAGCAGUGGGGAAUAUUGGACAAUGGGCGAAAGCCUGAUCCAGCAACGCCGCGUGAGGGAUGACGGCCUUCGGGUUGUAAACCUCUUUCAGCAGGGACGAAGCGCAAGUGACGGUACCUGCAGAAGAAGCACCGGCCAACUACGUGCCAGCAGCCGCCGCGGUAA